rnacentral:rRNA from 1 species
UGGGGAAUUUUGGACAAUGGGCGAAAGCCUGAUCCAGCAAUGCCGCGUGUGUGAAGAAGGCCUUCGGGUUGUAAAGCACUUUUGUCCGGAAAGAAAUCCUCUGGGUUAAUACCUCGGGGGGAUGACGGUACCGGAAGAAUAAGCACCGGCUAACUACGUGCCAGCAGCCGCGGUAAUACGUAGGGUGCAAGCGUUAAUCGGAAUUACUGGGCGUAAAGCGUGCGCAGGCGGUUUUGUAAGACGGAUGUGAAAUCCCCGGGCUUAACCUGGGAACUGCAUUCGUGACUGCAAGGCUAGAGUAUGGCAGAGGGGGGUAGAAUUCCACGUGUAGCAGUGAAAUGCGUAGAGAUGUGGAGGAAUACCGAUGGCGAAGGCAGCCCCCUGGGCCAAAUACUGACGCUCAUGCACGAAAGCGUGGGGAGCAAAACAGGAUUAGAUACCCUGGUAGUCCACGCCCUAAAACGAUGUCAACUAGUUGUUGGGGAUUCAUUUCCUUAGUAACGUAGCUAACGCGUGAAGUUGACCGCCUGGGGAGUACGGUCGCAAGAUUAAAACUCAAAUGAAUUGACGGGG